UCAAUAUUAGCCACUUCUGAGGAAUCAUCAUGUUUUUGUAAGUUCUUAUCAUUUGCUUCCUGAAUCUGUUCUGUCACUUUCUCCCAACAUAAGAUACUUUCUCCUGAGAUAAAAAUUAAGAACAAUUUAGCUCAAGAAAAGCAUAUUAAUGUCUUAAAACAUGAGAAUUCUACAAGUUACUAUGCUAAAAAAUUUUUUAAUUAAAAGUAAUGUAUAUCAAAGAUUUUACAACACUCAAGGAAUUCUUUAAUAUAAUUAAGAGACUCCAGCCUAGGCAACUGAGUGAGACUCUAUCUCAAAAAAUAAUAAAUUAAUUAAUUAAUAAUAAAUUAAUAAAAAGCAAUUCUGACUCUCGUAUGACCAAACUAUACAAUCUACUGCCCCUCCUUUAUUGUAUCAUAAAGGUAUUCAGACUUCAUUUAUGUUUUGUGUCUAAAAAACAUAGGAUUAGUAUGCGGACUCAGACUUUACAGAUAUCAAAAUCUGAAGGACACGGUUGCACGUGUAUGUCAAACUCAUCAAAUGGAAUGCAUUUAAACA
rnacentral:lncRNA from 1 species